rnacentral:lncRNA from 1 species
GGUGCGUAGGCUUCAUGGACCUCCCAAAGUCUAGUCGGGUCCAAAGGAAACUAGUCUACCGAGUUAGAGUAGGACUCUGUACUGUACUCGACUGGACUACCUUGGGUACUCUCUAGGGUCGAGCCUUGCUGUGGACACUCUUUCCUUUUUAUUUUCCUUCCUUUUUUUCAUCGUAGACUAACAUAACAGUGAAUUAUGAAUGGUAAAUAUGCUGGAAUCAAAUUGAAAAUAGAUUAAACCAAAGCGGCAUAAUCAGAUGGCAUGUCAUAGCCAUUCAUUACUAAAAAGUUAAUAAUCAUCAUUCUUACUUAUCAUAAUUUGUCAGAUAGUACAAUCAGCUACCAAAAUGAAAACAUUAUCCCACCUCUCAACCAUCUACCUCAGCAAUAACAACAAACAUCACAACGGCAACAAGCAGCAAACAUCACAACAACAACAGGUUUCAUAAAAUGGCAUGUCAUAGCCAUUUCUCAUUACAAAGUUCAUAAUCAUCAUUAAUAGCUAUCAUAAUUUGCCAGAUAGUAUCAUCAACUACCAAAAUAUAAGAAUGAUCCCACCUCUCAACCAUCUACCUAGCAAUAACACCAAACAUCACAUUAUGUCUCGCCAUCGUCUCUGAAUGACCUUCUAUAUGAGGCCUACAGCAGUGAUUGCUUGACCUUCUUAAGAACAUUGGUGGCCUAAUUCAGGUGUCCCUUCACCUUCUGCAGCUGAGCAGUAGUCGCUUCAAGUUCCUUGUUAGCCUUUGCGCAAUCUUCCAUCCACAUCCUUGCGUCAUUUUCACCUUUCAGAUUCUUGUCAUCAUUUCUCAUUUUUAGGUGAGACUAUUAACACUAGAAUUUGGCCAAUUUAUUGUCAAUAGGGUCUCGGGAAGGAAGUUGAUAGCCUGAUGAAGAAAGGCUAGCAAGUGCCAUGUUAGAGAUGGUGGAUUCCAAAAAUCAAAUUGAAGAAAAGCGCGUAUUGGGCGAGGGCACGAGCCGGACAAGGGUGCUUUAUCAACAAGGACUCAUAAGGGAAAUUAGAGUACAUGUAUCUUAAUAUUUCCUUUGUUUAGUUAGGAUUUCUAUAAGUUAGUCAAGAUUGGUUCAGACUCUGUUAGUUCCAGGGUACAAAUAUGUACCCCCUAACCAUUGUAAAAACAUCUCUCGAUCAAUCAAUACAAUCUUUCGACGCCAUGCCACCAAAUCCUUAAGAGUAGGAGUAAUGUAGCUUUUCAACGAGUUCCUUCUAGCGUGCAGGGUUGCAUCGGCUUCGAUCUCAGGUGAGCUUGUAAGUACCAUCGCCCGAUCAUUACAACCUCCAUCAAAACUUUUAAAGUUAAGUCUUAUAUUAUCAUAUUGUUGUGUGGUUAGUUAUCAAGUAUUCUUAGAUUGUAGAUAGAACUUUCUAGGCUUUGUCCAAUAUUCUACUUGUCUUCGAUGUUACUCACAGUUAUCGAACAACUUAGAUCUUGUUAGUUAUCUUCAUCAGCUCCCUUGCCUAGUUUAAAUGUUCAAAGUUAUGAGAUCGUAUCGGCUGGUAGAUCUUGCAUGCCUUUCUUUUUUUACAUAUGCUAGGUCUGAUAGAUCUUUCCUCCUGCCUCUCAUAUUGCUAACCGUCUGGCCCUUGACGUCAGCACGCCACUGUUGAGAGCCGAUGCUUUAGACGGGUCCUAUCCGUAUCUCACAGAAGCAUGAUGACGUCAUUGAGCCGAAAGGGGUGCGUACGAGGCCUUGCUAUCGUGAGUUUCUUUGUUAAGAUUAACAGGUCGAAGUUAAUGCCGUCUCACCAUGUUACCUAGUUUAAGUUCAAUUACACAGUCAUGACAUUGAUUAGAUUUUGUUACCUUAAUCGGUUUGCAAGCGCACUACAAGGUUUUGUCACUAGCGCAACGGCAGGAAAUCGUUGCAAUAGGGGUCAUUUCAAUGCAAUAGGGGUCUAUGGCAACGAUUUCGUGUCGUGGCGAUAAAAAUCAUGUCAUCGUGUAAAAAGGCGUUGCAAUAUGCUAUUACAAUGACACAGGCAGCCGUCGCAAUAAGGUUGCGUUAUUGCGAUGACCUGUGUCGUUGCAAUAAGUGGAUAUUACAACGCCCAUUGUCAUUGCAAUAGUGGCUAUUGCAAUGGUAGGGGUCAUUGCUAUAGAGGCUAUUGCAACGACAUUGCGUUGUUGCAAACAAGCGAUAAUGCAACGCAAGGAUGUUGUUGCAAUACAAGACCUAUGCUGUUGCAAUAUGCUAACAGCCUAUCUCAACGAAAAUACUAGUCGUGGCUAUAUGCGUCAACUGUAUCCCAACGAAAUAUGGGUCAUCGCUAUAUGCUCAAUGGAUAUCGCAACGGCGAGAAAGCGUCGUAAUAGGCGUACAAGGUAUUGCAACAAUGUACGUGGCGUCAUUAUAUGCUUCAACCAUAUCACCACGAAAUGUGUCGUGGUUAUACGCUCAAUGAAUAUAGCAAUGACGUGAAAUCGUUGCAAUAGGGGGUACAAGGUAUCGCAAUAAUGUUUAACAGUGGUUAUAUGUUUCAACCAUAUCGCAAUGACAUAUGCCGUGGUUUUACGCUCGAUGGAUAUAGCAACGACCUGAAUCGUUGCAAUAGGGGGUACAAGGUAUCGCAAUGAUGUACGUACCGUCGUUAUAUGCUUCAACCAUAUCGCAAUGGAGUAUGUUGUGGUUAUAUGCGUACAGGGUAUUGCCACACAAUAUGGGUCGUGGUUAUACGCUCAAUGGAUAUCGCAACUGUUGAUGCCAGAUUUUGACACGUGUGGAAUCAGCGUCAAGAAAGGAAGAAAUUAGGAGAUGCGGCAAGACACAGAGGUCACGAUUGGUGGUGCUACAGUUGAGGAUCGGCCGAUUGGUGCUGCAGUGUUUCCGUAAAUGGAGUCAGUAGAAAUCGGCCGAUUGGGAGGCUGGAGCAAUUGGGGCGGUAUGGGCUUAAAGUGAACUAUGAAGAUAAAGAGGGAGUCAGCCCAUGAGAGCAUGAUGAUCAACUCCAGUACGAAUCAUACUUGUAAAUAUUCGUUUUCGUUUAAAAUUAGAGAUGGAGUUCUAGUCGGUUAAGAAAUCGUUUGUAACAGGCUAUAAAUAGCCACUUUCAUAGAUCUGUAAUCAUCAUCAAAAUCAAUACAACAAACUACUAUUUCCUCGUACUUACGUUCGAGCAGGCGACUUCGCCAAUACUUUUCUUCUUUUCACGAGUUCGUACGAGUUGGCGGGGCUGCAUCAGCUUGACCUCCAGCCGAUCCUGUAAGUUCCGUCUAUCAAAUAAUAUCUAAGCUUUAACUUCAGGCACAUCGCUAUCGUUUCGUUUAGAUUUUUUCACUAGUUAUCGAUAUUUACUAGAAUUCUAGGUUUUGCCUGUUGUUCUAGUUUUAUCACCGGUUAUCCAGCUAGGAAUUGGAACUUUCAGCUUUCUCGUACUUUAUUACUUAAUCUAUUGCUUUCUGCAUAGCCGAUUCAGAUCUAUUCCUAGUAUUGUUACUGUAGCAUUGUUUAGAUUAUUCUAGCAGUUUUCUUUACUAACGCUGCUCAGCAAUCGACUACAUUAUAGCCGAUUUCUUUAUUACAGCAAAUUGGCCGAUUCGCUGAUAAGCUUUCUCGAGAUCGGAACCUUAGCUCAUCGCAACCUCUGGGAUCUGACACGUUUCUUUCCUUGCCAAUCAACAGGUCAGAUUGGCUGGCACGCCUUGCGAAUCGCACUAGGGCGAUCACCCGAACAAGAGUUAAGCAGAUUCUCCCGGGUCGUGUGUCCGACGCUGGAGAUUCGAUCGGCCGAUUUCUAGCGCCAACAGCAACAUAAAUAUGUCAUCGUCAUAUGCUUGUUGGUCGUCGGCUAAAAUGGAAAAUCCAAAACAAUAAUUUAUGCCACAUAUAUAUCAUUAAUUAAAUCAAUCCAUCAUUCAUGCAUACCAUUCAUGAUAAAACAGAAUAUUCGACACAUGAAAAUACUCUUGUCCAUUCAUCCACAUGACUCCCAUCCCAGCAUUCAUGAUAAUCAACUUUGCUUCGAGGUCUGCUUGUAACCUAUAGGCAACCUUGAGUCUUAUUGCCCCUCUGUAGCUUCACUAGCAUGCUGAUGCGAAGAGAAACAAACAAGUGAAUUAAAACUUGUGAAGCUACUUUGCCUUGGAAGCAAUAUGCAACAAUAUUGAAAGCACAAUUCCAGUUCGUAUCAGUUGCACUUUCCUUUUGCCUGCUCAUGUUUUAGCACUAGAUAUAAGCUGAUGUGUACUAAUGUAUGAUCUGGAUCCUGCAACAGCUCCUGUACCUUUACGGCGAUUAUCAUUGAAUAGACUCUUUGCUCAAAUUGAAAGCAGAUUAAACCAAAGUGGCAUAAUCAGAUAGCAUGUCAUAGCCAUUCAUCACUACAAAGUUCAAAAUCAUCAUUCUUACUUAUCAUAAUUUGCCAGAUGGUACCAUCAGCUACAAAAAUCAAAAUAUGAUCCCACCUCUCAACAAUCUACCUCAGCAAUAACAACAAACAUCACAGCAGCAACAAGCAACAAACAUCACAAUAGUAACAGGUUUCAUAAAAUGGCAUGUCAUAGCCAUUUCUCAUUACAAAGUUCAUAAUCAUCAUUAAUAGCUAUCAUAAUUUGCCAGAUAGUAUCAUCAACUACCAAAAUAUAAGAAUGAUCCCACCUCUCAACCGUCUACC